GACGAACGCUGGCGGCGUGCCUAAUACAUGCGAGUUGAGCGCUGAAGGUUGGUACUUGUACCAACUGGAUGAGCAGCGCACGGGUGAGUAACGCGUGGGGAAUCUGCCUUUGAGCGGGGGACAACAUUUGGAAACGAAUGCUAAUACCGCAUAAAAACUUUAAACACAAGUUUUAAGUUUGAAAGAUGCAAUUGCAUCACUCAAAGAUGAUCCCGCGUUGUAUUAGCUAGUUGGUGAGGUAAAGGCUCACCAAGGCGAUGAUACAUAGCCGACCUGAGAGGGUGAUCGGCCACAUUGGGACUGAGACACGGCCCAAACUCCUACGGGAGGCAGCAGGAGGGAAUCUUCGGCAAGGGACGAAAGUCUGACCGAGCAACGCCGCGGGAGUGAAGAAGGGUUUCGGAUCGUAAAACUCUGUUGGUAGAGAAGAACGUUGGUGAGAGUGGAAAGCUCAUCAAGUGACGGUAACUACCCAGAAAGGGACGGCUAACUACGUG
rnacentral:rRNA from 1 species